GACGAACCGUGCGAACGUUAUUCGGAAUCACUGGGCUUAAAGCGCGUGUAGGCGGGUCGGCACGUCGGUGCGUGAAAUCCCCCGGCUCAACCGGGGAAGGCGGCCGCGACGCGCCUCGUGGAGGCGUAGGGGGGCUGGAACUUCCGGUGGAGCGGUGAAAUGCGUUGAGAUCGGAAGGAACGCCCGUGGCGAAAGCGAGGUCCUGGACGCCUACUGACGCUGAGACGCGAAAGCCAGGGGAGCGAACGGGG
rnacentral:rRNA from 1 species